rnacentral:lncRNA from 12 species
GCUGCACUGAGGUGGAGCAUGAAAAGCAAGAUUGAAUGAGCUAUUUGACUACUUUAAGGCCUUCAGUAUCUGACAUCAGAAAACUCUUUCUGGGCUCUCAUUAGUGGAGAUCUUGUCCGAGAACUGUUUUUAAGUGUCGCUGAUGAAGUGGGUUCAGAACCCGGAUGUGAAGUCUAUAAUGCAAUGAAAGUAUGUGAUUCUUAUCCUUGCUAAAAU